rnacentral:rRNA from 1 species
AUUGAACGCUGGCGGCAUGCCUUACACAUGCAAGUCGAACGGCAGCACGGGAGCAAUCCUGGUGGCGAGUGGCGAACGGGUGAGUAAUAUAUCGGAACGUGCCCAGUCGUGGGGGAUAACGCAGCGAAAGCUGUGCUAAUACCGCAUACGAUCUAAGGAUGAAAGCGGGGGAUCGCAAGACCUCGCGCGAUUGGAGCGGCCGAUAUCAGAUUAGCUAGUUGGUGGGGUAAAGGCCCACCAAGGCGACGAUCUGUAGCUGGUCUGAGAGGACGACCAGCCACACUGGAACUGAGACACGGUCCAGACUCCUACGGGAGGCAGCAGUGGGGAAUUUUGGACAAUGGGCGCAAGCCUGAUCCAGCAAUGCCGCGUGCAGGAUGAAGGCCUUCGGGUUGUAAACUGCUUUUGUACGGAACGAAACGGCCCUUUCUAAUACAGGGGGCUAAUGACGGUACCGUAAGAAUAAGCACCGGCUAACUACGUGCCAGCCGCCGCGGUAA